rnacentral:rRNA from 1 species
GACGAACGCUGGCGGCGUGCUUAACACAUGCAAGUCGAACGGAAAGGCCUGCUUUCCCUUGUAGAUUGCGGGUACUCGAGUGGCGAACGGGUGAGUAACACGUGAGUGAUCUGCCCCCAACUUGGGUAUAAGCCUGGGAAACUGGGUCUAAUUCCCGAUAGGACUGCAGGGUGGUGCCUGUGGUGGAACACGAUUUUCUAGUGGUUGGGGAUGAGCUCGCGGCCUAUCAGCUUGUUGGUGGGGUAAUGGCCUACCAAGGCGGCGACGGGUAGCCGGCCUGAGAGGGUGGACGGCCACAUUGGGACUGAGAUACGGCCCAGACUCCUACGGGAGGCAGCAGUGGGGAAUAUUGCACAAUGGGCGGAAGCCUGAUGCAGCGACGCCGCGUGGGGGAUGACGGCCUUCGGGUUGUAAACUCCUUUCGACCGCGAGGAAGCCACCUGGUUGGAAGGGUGGUGACGGUAGUGGUAGAAGAAGCACCGGCUAACUACGUG